rnacentral:rRNA from 1 species
CCUUAGAUCAGAAGCGAGAAUGUUGACAUGAGUAGCGACAAAGAGGGUGAGAGACCCUCUCGCCGUAAGUCCAAGGGUUCCUGCUUAAAGCUAAUCUGAGCAGGGUAAGCCGGCCCCUAAGGCGAGGCCGAAAGGCGUAGUCGAUGGGAACCAGGUUAAUAUUCCUGGGCCAGGAGGAAGUGACGGAUCUCGAAGGUAGUUUGCCCUUAUCGGAUUGGGUGGGCUGCUCAGAGGUUCCAGGAAAUAGCCCUCCAUCAGACCGUACCCUAAACCGACACAGGUGGACUGGUAGAGUAUACCAAGGCGCUUGAGAGAACCACGUUAAAGGAACUCGGCAAAAUGCCUCCGUAAGUUCGCGAGAAGGAGGCCCCAUAUCUGGGCAACCAGGUGUGGGGGGCACAAACUAGGGGGUGGCGACUGUUUACUUAAAACACAGGGCUGUGCGAAGCCGUAAGGCGACGUAUACAGUCUGACGCCUGCCCGGUGCUGGAAGGUUAAAAGGAGGGGUGCAAGCUCUGAAUUGAAGCCCCAGUGAACGGCGGCCGUAACAAUAACGGUCCUAAGGUAGCGAAAUUCCUUGUCGGGUAAGUUCCGACCUGCACGAAUGGCGUAACGAUCUCCCCGCUGUCUCUAACGUGGACUCAGCGAAAUUGAACUGUGUGUCAAGAUGCACACUACCCGCGGUUAGACGGAAAGACCCCAUGCACCUUUACUCCAGCUUUGCACUGGUAUCAGGAUUGUGAUGUGCAGGAUAGGUGGUAGGCAUCGAAGCGGGGACGCCAGUUCUCGUGGAGCCUCCCUUGAGAUACCACCCUUCGCCAUCUUGAUAUCUAACCGCGGCCCGUUAUCCGGGUCCGGGACCCUGCAUGGUGGGGAGUUUGACUGGGGCGGUCGCCUCCCAAACAGUAACGGAGGCGCGCGAAGGUAGGCUCAGACCGGUCGGAAAUCGGUCGUUGAGUGCAAUGGCAGAAGCCUGCCUGACUGCAAGUCUGACAAGACGAGCAGAGACGAAAGUCGGUCAUAGUGAUCCGGUGGUCCCAAGUGGGAGGGCCAUCGCUCAACGGAUAAAAGGUACGCUGGGGAUAACAGGCUGAUGAUGCCCAAGAGUCCAUAUCGACGGCAUCGUUUGGCACCUCGAUGUCGGCUCAUCUCAUCCUGGGGCUGGAGCAGGUCCCAAGGGUAUGGCUGUUCGCCAUUUAAAGAGGUACGUGAGCUGGGUUUAGAACGUCGUGAGACAGUUCGGUCCCUAUCUGCCGUGGGUGUAGGAGACUUGAGAAGAGUUGCCCCUAGUACGAGAGGACCGGGGUGAACGAACCACUGGUGGACCAGUUGUCGUGCCAACGGCAGUGCGGGGUAGCUAUGUUCGGACAGGAUAACCGCUGAAGGCAUCUAAGCGGGAAGCCCCCUUCAAAACAAGGUCUCCCUUGAGAGCCGUGGAAGACCACCACGUCGAUAGGCCGGAGGUGUAAGUGCAGCAAUGCAUUCAGCUGACCGGUACUAAUUGCUCC